AACGGCCAUACCAUGCUGAAGAUACCGGUUCUCGUUUGAUCAUUGAAAUCAAGCAUCAUCGGGCGCGUUCAGUACUUAAGAGGUGAUCACCUGGGAACACCACGUGCCGUU